AUUGUAGUGUUUAUUAGAGCCAUAAAUCAAUUUAUUACGGUCGGGUUGUAGCCAAGUCAGUUUUGCUAGUGACCACCAGGGGGCCACAGCCUUUCCGGGGAAGCGUCCUUAUUGGACCCCGGCUGGCUGGAGGUCCCUGGGCGGUACUUGCCAAACGGGUGCUACUCAGCGAGGACGCAUCGAUAACACAUCACAACGCCGCAGCCAUGGCAAAAUGAAAGUACCAGGACUGAAAGAGAACGUGUGUGUGUGUGUGUGUGUGUGUGUGUGUGUGUGUGUGUGUGUGUGUGUGUGUGUGUGUGUGUGUGUGUGUGUGUGUGUGUGUGUGUGUGUGUGUGUGUGUGUGUGUCAUAUUUCUUCUAUAGAUAACAUACAUUCUUGUCCUUAAAAACGGAAGCUAUAAAACGCAUCAGGUGGGUUGUGGAUCUCUGGUAGUGACAAGAUGGCAGACGCAGAAGGAGAAGAGAGAGGAGAAGAGAGCUUUGGAAAGAGAACCAUGGGGCCCAUGACUUCAGAGCAGUAUGCGAUUCCUGCUAAUGAGUUUCUACUCAUUGGUAAAACCCUAAUGAAUUUGCACAAAUGAUCUCCAUUUAACGACAGAGCUGACGUCCCCCUUCCUGACUCCAGGGCACCUCUCAGCUGUGGCUAUCGGGUUCACGAUAGCAGAUUCCAAAAAAUGACUCGGAGGCAAUAACAACGGCAUCCACCCAAAGAGCGACGGGAAGGAGAUUAAAGAGGUUCAACUCUAGUUCCACGGCCUCACCUCCUAUCGCACUGCAUCAAGUCUGUCCGGUGAUGUCAGCCUGGCUGCUGGUGAAUGCUAAGCGCCAUGGACAGCUUCACCUCUGUGAGACGCCUGUCAGAGGGGACGUUGACAUUCAGAGACACAGUGCGUCUCAUCCUAGGUCUGGUGACUAAAGAAGUCGAAAGAAUUUCAUUGCCAGCGACUGCUCUGUAAUUGUUGCGUAUGUGACAAUAAAACCAACUUGAAUCUUGAACCUUGGUGGUGGUAGUGCAAGCCUUAACUCUCCUCUCCCUGGUGGGAUACAAGUCGCACACUGGUUGUCGAUGUAAUGCAUUUAUCCCUGGGGAUCCUUGCUCAUUCUACAUGAUCCACAGUGUGAAUCAGCCUGUUUGUAUAUGUGGCUCAUUGCUGUAUGUAUUUAGUCUGGUUAUGUAUCUCUGUUAUGUUCCUCUCUUGCAUAGCGACCCAUAGAGACAGGUAUGUUGUCAAAGUUUGUUUGGAAGUGUGUAGUAGAAAAUCCAAUAGACAAUGGGGCUAAAGUAAAGUGGAUGACCGUGCUCGGACCGCAGGUUCAUCCUACAGCUGUUCUACAGAGACGCCCGCAUGGCAUAAGCCAAUAGUCUGAAAGGGGGCCCAUUUGAGCGCACGCAAAGUGUCACCUGAUUGAUUUGGUGAAACGUAACAAAUGUCAAAUGUAAACCUAAAUGGUUCCAUAACACUCAAUUCAAGUAUCAUUCAGCCAUUUAUCUCCUGUGUUUUCCCUUUGUGCUUUUUUUUCUGCGUCAUUCUUAUUUGUAUCUCACGCAAGCAGCCAUGACGACGACGACGACGACGACGACGGGGGGUCAGUGUGUCCUUAUAAGCUCCAGCGCUGGUCCAAUCUAUGGCACUUACCCCUGCCCACAACCCCCCCCCCUCCUCCCCUUCAAAGUGCAAUUACUCGCAAAUUAAACAUGCCCGCAUGCUAUUAUCGCAAACCAUUUCCGCGUGGCAUCUCUGACUCCCCUCCCUCAUUCAUAAUUUAAUCCCUCUGUUCUCAAGGCUAGAGGCGACCGGAUGGGGCGGUCUCCAACAUCAGACAGAGAGGGAGGAAGACACAGUGUGUGUGUGUGUGUGUGUGUGUGUGUGUGUGUGUGUGUGUGUGUGUGUGUGUGUGUGUGUGUGUUGGUGUG